rnacentral:rRNA from 1 species
AGAACGAACGCUGGCGGCAGGCUUAACACAUGCAAGUCGAACGCAUCGCAAGGUGAGUGGCAGACGGGUGAGUAACGCGUGGGAAUCUACCCAAUUCUUCGGAACAACUGAGGGAAACUUCAGCUAAUACCGGAUGUGCCCUUCGGGGGAAAGAUUUAUCGGAAUUGGAUGAGCCCGCGUUGGAUUAGCUAGUUGGUAGGGUAACGGCCUACCAAGGCGACGAUCAGUAUCC